GUUAGGAAUCUUCCACAAUGGGGGCAACCCUGAUGGAGCAACACCGCGUGCUGGAUGAAGGCCUUCGGGUCGUAAACAGCUUUUGUAUACGAAGAAUAUGACGGUAAUAUACGAAUAAGGGUCGGCUAACUACGUGCCAGCAGCCGCGGUCAUACGUAGGACCCAAGCGUUAUCCGGAGUGACUGGGCGUAAAGAGUUGCGUAGGCGGCUUAUUAAACGAGUAGUGAAAUCUGGUGGCUCAACCAUCAACACAUUGCUCGAACUGAUAGGCUUGAGAAUGGUAGAGGUAGUUGGAAUUUCUUGUGUAGGAGUGAAAUCCGUAGAUAUAAGAAGGAACACCAAUGGCGUAGGCAGACUACUGGACCAUUUCUGACGCUGAGGCACGAAAGCGUGGGGAGCGAACCGGAUUAGAAACCCUUGUAGUCC
rnacentral:rRNA from 1 species